UAGGGAAUCUUCCACAAUGGGCGAAAGCCUGAUGGAGCAACGCCGCGUGAGUGAAGAAGGUUUCGGAUCGUAAAGCUCUGUUGUUGGUGAAGAAGGAUAGAGGUAGUAACUGGCCCCUAUUUGACGGUAAUCAACCAGAAAGUCACGGCUAACUACGUCGCC
rnacentral:rRNA from 1 species